rnacentral:rRNA from 1 species
UAUUAUUUAAUAUGUAGAUUUGUAAAUUAGAGUAGUAAUAGUUUAAGUUCUUGAAACUCAAAGAAUUUGGCGGUAUUUUAGUCUUUUCAGAGGAACCUGUUCUGUAAUCGAUGGUACACGAUUAGUUUAACUUAGUUUUGUUAUCAGCUUAUAUACCGCCGUCGGUAGAUUAUUUUAAUGAGAAUAUAAAAUUUCUUUAUUUAUUAUAUUAAUUAAUGUCAGGUCAAGGUGUAGCUAAUAAUUAAGUAGAAAUGGGUUACAAUAGUUUUAAUUAUUGGAUAAUAGUUUUAAUUGAUUAUUUGAAAUUGGAUUUGAUUGUAAAUUGAUUUUUAUUAAUUAAUUGAUUAAAGCUCUAAAAUAUGUACAUAUCGCCCGUCACUCUCUCUUUAAGGGGAG